UGUUAGUGUAGUUUAAUAAAAACAUUAGAAUGUGGCCCUAAAAACAGGAGUUUACUUCUCCUCACAAACCGAGAGGUGUUCCGAACAAUAA
rnacentral:tRNA from 2 species